rnacentral:rRNA from 1 species
CCUACGGGAGGCAGCAGUGGGGAAUCUUGGACAAUGGGCGCAAGCCUGAUCCAGCCAUGCCGCGUGAGUGAUGAAGGCCCUAGGGUCGUAAAGCUCUUUCGCCUGUGAAGAUAAUGACGGUAGCAGGUAAAGAAACCCCGGCUAACUCCGUGCCAGCAGCCGCGGUAAUAC